AUACGGAGGAUGCGAGCGUUAUCCGGAUUUAUUGGGUUUAAAGGGUGCGUAGGCGGACGAUUAAGUCAGCUGUGAAAUGCCCGCGCUUAACGCGGGAAGUGCAGUUGAUACUGGUUGUCUGGAGUGCCGUUGCCGUGGGGGGAAUGUGUAGUGUGCGGUGAAAUGCAUAGAUAUUACACAGAACGCCGAUUGUGAAGACACCUCACGAAGCGGUAACAGACGCUGAGGCACGAAAGCGUGGGGAUCGAACAGGAUUAGAUACCCCGGUAGUCCUGGCAGUAAACGAUGUAUGCUGGGUGUGAGACUAUCGGUAGUUUCGUGCCGAAGGUAACGCGAUAAGCAUACCGGCUGGGGAGUACGGUCGCAAGAUUGAAACUCAAAUGAAUUGACGGGG
rnacentral:rRNA from 1 species